rnacentral:rRNA from 1 species
UUCCAGACUCCUACGGGAGGCAGCAGUGGGGAAUAUUGCACAAUGGGGGAAACCCUGAUGCAGCGACGCCGCGUGAGUGAAGAAGUAUUUCGGUAUGUAAAGCUCUAUCAGCAGGGAAGAAAAUGACGGUACCUGACUAAGAAGCCCCGGCUAACUACGUGCCAGCAGCCGCGGUAAUACGUAGGGGGCAAGCGUUAUCCGGAUUUACUGGGUGUAAAGGGAGCGUAGACGGCAUGGCAAGUCAGAUGUGAAAGCCCGGGGCUCAACCCCGGGACUGCAUUUGAAACUGUUGGUCUUGAGUAUCGGAGAGGCAGGCGGAAUUCCUAGUGUAGCGGUGAAAUGCGUAGAUAUUAGGAGGAACACCAGUGGCGAAGGCGGCCUGCUGGACGACAACUGACGGUGAGGCGCGAAAGCGUGGGGAGCAAACAGGAUUAGAUACCCUCGUACA